rnacentral:rRNA from 1 species
UACGUAGGGUGCAAGCGUUUAAUCGGAAUUACUGGGCGUAAAGCGUGCGCAGGCGGUUUUGUAAGUUUGUCGUGAAAGCCCCGGGCUUAACCUGGGAAUGGCCAUGGAAACUGGCGAACUGGAGUGUGGCAGAGGGGGUGGAAUUCCGCGUGUAGCAGUGAAAUGCGUAGAGAUGCGGAGGAACACCGAUGGCGAAGGCAGCCCCCUGGGCUAGCACUGACGCUCAGGCACGAAAGCGUGGGGAGCAAACAGG